rnacentral:misc_RNA from 1 species
UAUAUAUAUAUAUAUAGAUAGAUAAAGACUCGGUUAAUUGUUAGGACAAAGCAUAUUGAGAAAGAAUCAAAGUUAAGAACAUAAACUUUUUUAAAUAUUGUAUCACAAAAUUGUACAAUUGCACAAUUAAAAAAAUAAAAAUUUUUUCAGCAUCUUUAAGUUGGCAGUUCUCAUCAUGGUGUACUAAGAGAGGAGGUAGAUGUAGC